rnacentral:lncRNA from 1 species
UCUAAAAUAUGGCAGAGUUGAAUCAUAAAAAUAGCCUGGGUUCCUGAAUGACUGGGUGGAGCAUAGCCUCCACUGACCCAAAUUGAACGAUAAUGCAAGCAAGAUGAUAAUUUGAUUUUUGAGUUAACCUGAUGAGUUUUUGUAGCUGUCAAGAGCUCUUAAAUUGAGCCAAUGAAAGCAAAAUUCAAUAGAAGAAAGCAAAAAAAUGAAGAAGACAGCAUUAAAGGAAAAGAUCAAGCUUUCUAGAAUCAUACUGGCUAUUAAUAAUGCCUUUGGCUUUGGGAUUGGGAAUUUUUGAUGUGACCAAACAGCCAUUUAUGUUCUCAGAAAACUGGAAUAGGAAUAUCCUAUGGUGGAAGAAAAGAAUGGACCAUGAUGAAAAUUUCUACACCAGAAGAGUUUAAAGAUGAAGAAAGCACCACAGAAGCAGUUCAUGUCUCACUAAGGCUAGACACUGAUGGAUCUAACGUCUCUCUUUGGAAUUUAUUGGCAUUUAACACCUAUUAUCGUCAACUCUGGAGUCCUCAGCUAAACUCUAAGAGAACAGGCAAGAUUUAUAUCCUCCUGGGAAGAAAAGAAGUUCAGCCAUGAAGUCCUGAAGUUUGAAGGAAGAAAAUAAAUCACAUUCUCUUAGAAAUGACUUUUUAUAGGAGAAUAUGAAAGUAGGUAAAGCAAUGUGAUAAUCCAAGAUGCCCUCCAACAGUCCAGUAAGUGUGAAGAGAAAAAGAUAGCCUUAAAACACCAUCCACCCUGUUCAGGGAGCCAGUGAAUGAAGACAGACACCAACUACAAAUUGCAAAAUCUCUCACCCCUCAUCAUCAACUACCUUUCUCUCUUUUGUCAGUUACUUUUCCUUGAUGACUCAAUUGUAGAUUUCAAGUAUGAGUACACUGGACAGACCAUCUCUCCCCAUUUUCCCUGGUGCCUAACACAUCCCUAAGACACAGUAGAUGGGAGCCAAUAAAAACAACCCUAAUCUUGCACUGGGGGAAAUUUCCUCCUAGCAGGAGCUGGAGAUUGACUUUAAAACUGACAGCUAUGAUAACCUCUGGCAUUCUUACUUUCACUAGACUGUCUGAAAACACUUUUUUUUCAACACUGUUAAUACAGUAGCUCUUUAUUGACAGGUACGCUGGUGGUUCUUUUCUUUUUUAAUUGUGACUUUAAUUUAACUGUGAGUUUAAUUUAGAUGAAACACAGUAUUUCCAGUAGCCUCUUACCAAUAAAUUUUUUUUUAAAAAUCAAUAAACAUAGCUUUAUAUGGAUUAAAUCA